AAGACUUCACACUGGUUUGAUGACCAUAUGCAGGAUACUGAUUUGAGUCUCUCCCAAUUCUCUAGUUACCUCACUGGGGCAGGCAGGGCUCAGUAUACCUCUUCAGCAGUUGCAUGGUUUCUGACUGUAUUUGAUAUCACC
rnacentral:lncRNA from 1 species